GAAACGAAAUCAACAUUUUCGUCCAGUUUAUUUCUAUCUGUGGCGUCCAUCAGUUUUCAAAGGAACUUCUUUGUGGAUCAGCCCUCAAAUCUUAGCAAUUCGGUUUAUUAUAAGAUUUUGGUAUCUAAAUUAUCGUAAAGGAUGAAUUUUUUCGGUUUUAUAAUGUUUAUCACUUUCAUAACGAUCGCAAUAACAAACAAAAUUACAAAUAGUCUGCCUUCAGGAACACUGAUAGAAGAUUCGAUCGGGGUCAUAAAAAGAAGGAAAAAAAGGGAACCAAAUGAAGGAAACUGAAUGCUUGAAUCAAAUUUCAUUGUGUUUUUUAAGACAACAUUAUCCUUAAAAAUCUUAAAAGUGAUUUUAGUAUUCUUUUUAAAUUUGUUUUGUCUGUGAUGUGAUAUUCAAGAGUGUUUGGUUUUUCAAAAUAUACGUUGAAAAAAUAAAAAA